rnacentral:rRNA from 1 species
GACGAAUGCUGGCUGCGUGCUUAACACAUGCAAGUCGAACGGUGAAGGGGAGCUUGCUCCCCGGAUCAGUGGCGAACGGGUGAGUAACACGUGGGCAACCUGCCCCUCACUCUGGGAUAACUCCGGGAAACCGGGGCUAAUACCGGAUACGACCGGGAGCGACAUCGCUCCUGGUGGAAAGAACUUCGGUGAGGGAUGGGCCCGCGGCCUAUCAGCUAGUUGGUGGGGUAACGGCCCACCAAGGCGACGACGGGUAGCCGGCCUGAGAGGGCGACCGGCCACACUGGGACUGGGACACGGCCCGGACUCCUACGGGAGGCAGCAGUGGGGAAUAUUGCGCAAUGGGCGAAAGCCUGACGCAGCGACGCAGCGUGAGGGACGAAGGCCUUCGGGUUGUAAACCUCUUUCAGCGGGGACGAAGCGAAAGUGACGGUACCCGCAGAAGAAGCACCGGCUAACUACGUGCCAGCAGCCGCCGUAA